GUCUUUUUGAAUUAAAUUUAAAGUCUAACCUGCCCACUGAAAAUUUUAAAUGGCCGCAGUAUCCUAACUGUGCAAAGGUAGCAUAAUCAUUAGUCUUUUAAUUGAAGGCUGGAAUGAAUGGUUGGACGAAAUAUUAACUGUUUCAUUUAAAUUUUUUAUAAAAUUUUAUUUUUUAGUCAAAAAGCUAAAAUAAAUUUAAAAGACGAGAAGACCCUAUAAAUCUUUAUAUUUUGUUUAUUUUAAUUAUAAAGAUUAUUUUUAUUAUAAUAAAUUAAAAUAUUUUAUUGGGGUGAUAAUAAAAUUUAAAAAACUUUUAAUUUUAAAAACCAUUAAUUUAUGAAUAAUUGAUCCAUUAAUAAUGAUUAAAAAUUUAAGUUACUUUAGGGAUAACAGCGUAAUUUUUUUGGAGAGUUCAUAUCGAUAAAAAAGAUUGCGACCUCGAUGUUGGAUUAAGAUAUAAUUUUGGGUGUAGCCGUUCAAAUUUUAAGUCUGUUCGACUUUUAAAUUCUU
rnacentral:rRNA from 1 species